rnacentral:rRNA from 1 species
UACGGAGGGUGCGAGCGUUGUCCGGAAUCAUUGGGCGUAAAGGGCGCGUAGGUGGCCCGGUAAGCGUGCGGUGAAAGCUUGGGGCUCAACCCCGAGUCGGCCGUGCGAACUGCUGGGCUGGAGCACUGUAGAGGCAGGCGGAAUUCCGGGUGUAGCGGUGGAAUGCGUAGAGAUCCGGAAGAACACCAGUGGCGAAGGCGACUACCUGGCCUGUUCUUGACGCUGAGGCGCGAAAGCUAGGGGAGCAAACGGG